GCCGCCAUAGCUCAGUCGGUUAGAGCGUGGGUCUAAUAAGCCCAAGGUCGCAGGUUGACCCCUGCUGGCGGCA
rnacentral:tRNA from 1 species